rnacentral:tRNA from 1 species
UGGGUCCUUAGCUCAGCUGGGAGAGCGCCUGCUUCGCAUGCAGGAGGUCGUCGGUUCAAAUCCGGUAGGAUCCAU